rnacentral:rRNA from 1 species
CCUACGGGAGGCAGCAGUGGGGAAUAUUGGGCAAUGGGCGCAAGCCUGACCCAGCAACGCCGCGUGAAGGAAGAAGGCUUUCGGGUUGUAAACUUCUUUUGUCAGGGACGAAGCAAGUGACGGUACCUGACGAAUAAGCCACGGCUAACUACGUGCCAGAAGCCGCGGUAAUACGUCGGUGGCAAGCGUUAUCCGGAGUUACUGGGUGUAAAGGGCGUGUAGGCGGGACUGCAAGUCAGAUGUGAAAACCACGGGCUCAACCUGUGGCCUGCAUUUGAAACUGUAGUUCUUGAGUACUGGAGAGUCAGACGGAAUUCCUAGUGUAGCGGUGAAAUGCGUAGAUAUCACGCAGAACUCCGAUUGCGAAGGCAGCAUACCGGCGCCCGACUGACGCUGAGGCACGAAAGCGUGGGUAUCGAACAGGAUUAGAUACCCGUGUAGUC